GGAAUUUUUUGUUUCUCAAUUGUCUGUCUGACUGAACCUUUUUGUCACCUGCCAAUUCAAUUACGGGCUGCUGAAGAAGGAACCAGAGUUAUGGAAGUAUGGAAUUGUUGUCUCCAAAGUGAAGGNNNNNNNNNCAUUAUUAUCAUUAUAAUCUCCAACGCGAAGGAACCAUAUGGUAUUUCAUUUGCACCACCAAAGGAUUUACAAUAUUGAUAGGUUUGGAUUGUUGGUUUAAUUUUGUGGCAG
rnacentral:misc_RNA from 1 species